rnacentral:rRNA from 1 species
CCCAGACUCCUACGGGAGGCAGCAGUGGGGAAUAUUGCACAAUGGGGGAAACCCUGAUGCAGCGACGCCGCGUGAGUGAAGAAGUAUUUCGGUAUGUAAAGCUCUAUCAGCAGGGAAGAAAAUGACGGUACCUGACUAAGAAGCCCCGGCUAACUACGUGCCAGCAGCCGCGGUAAUACGUAGGGGGCAAGCGUUAUCCGGAUUUACUGGGUGUAAAGGGAGCGUAGACGGUGAUGCAAGUCAGAAGUGAAAGCCCGGGGCUCAACUCCGGGACUGCUUUUGAAACUGUGUAACUGGAGUGCAGGAGAGGUAAGCGGAAUUCCUAGUGUAGCGGUGAAAUGCGUAGAUAUUAGGAGGAACACCAGUGGCGAAGGCGGCUUACUGGGCUGUAACUGACGUUGAGGCUCGAAAGCGUGGGGAGCAAACAGGAUUAGAUACCCGUGUA